CUGCAGCCAUUCUUAAACCAUAUCGUCUUCUGCGCGCUGCCGCCUCCUCUAUUCCUCCUCUCUGCGCCGAUCUCUUUCGAUCCUGCUAGUUUCUUUCGAUUUCACAUUCGAGCCUCUAAGCGAUUUCUCUUUAUUAUUUUUAUAUCGAUUGAUCUCUUGAUGCCCUAAUUCUGCUGUUCAAUCUACGAGCGUGAUGAAAAGAUUAACAUUAUCUCGCCAUGAGGUAUCUGAUGCGCGGUCUAACUAUGGUUGCGUUUCUCGUAAGAAUGGCGGAGAUGGAAACCAGCAGGACUGCGACGCUGGCUGCUCUAUAUCUACCUGAGCUUCCUGUUACUCUUUUGUCCUGCUAACAAUUCAUCAUAAACCCUUAACUACUAUUUUCAAAACAUGUCCUGCUAACUACUAUUUUCAAAACUACUAAAUGUCUUUUUUGAAUCAUUGAGUUUGUUUUUUUUUCUUCUGCGCACAUUUACUCAAAAUUCUGAUGCUUUUCAUUGUGAUUUGUGAUGAAAUAUAUUGCAUUGUGGAAG